GAAAAUCCUCUGCAAGAGGUACUGUGCAGGCAGGAAAACAAUUAGCUAGUAGCAACAUAGGUUCUUAUGGUCAAUACCACGAGGACAAUAGAGUGGUGAAGAACAAAACCAGUGGUCCUGGAGGAGCCCCUAAAAGAAAAUCUUCUGAAUUCUCGGGUGGUGAUGCUGCAGCACGUGCUAAGAUUAUUAAGGAUGUCUCACAUCCUCCUUUGGAGCUCAGAGACUUGGAAAAACAUAAAGCUGCAGCACUACCUGUUGACUAUGCACAUAAGUCAAAAACCAGUGAGACAUUUGAUUAUGCUUAUCAAGUUUAC
rnacentral:lncRNA from 1 species